rnacentral:rRNA from 1 species
UACGAAGGGGGCUAGCGUUGUUCGGAAUUACUGGGCGUAAAGCGCACGCAGGCGGUGACCAUAGUCAGAAGUGAAAGCCCUGGGCUCAACCCGGGAAUUGCUUUUGAUACUGGGUCACUAGAAUCACGGAGAGGGUAGUGGAAUUCCGAGUGUAGAGGUGAAAUUCGUAGAUAUUCGGAAGAACACCAGUGGCGAAGGCGACUACCUGGCCGUCGAUUGACGCUCAUGUGCGAAAGCGUGGGGAGCAAACAGG